UACGUAGGGGGCUAGCGUUGUCCGGAAUCAUUGGGCGUAAAGCGCGCGUAGGCGGUCAGGUAAGUCCGGUGUGAAAGUCAAAGGCUCAACCUUUGAAUGCCGCUGGAUACUGCCUGACUUGAGUCCGGGAGAGGUGAGUGGAAUUCCCAGUGUAGCGGUGAAAUGCGUAGAUAUUGGGAGGAACACCAGUGGCGAAGGCGGCUCACUGGACCGGAACUGACGCUGAGGCGCGAAAGCGUGGGGAGCAAACGGG
rnacentral:rRNA from 1 species